CCUCAUUACGUUGAACCACAGGUUCUCGUACGAUUACCGAAGUUAAGCAACACCGAGCCUGGUCAGUGCCUACAUGGGUGACCGCUUGGGAAUAUCAGGAGC